rnacentral:rRNA from 1 species
UACAGAGGGUGCGAACGUUGCUCGGAAUUACUGGGCGUAAAGCGCGUGUAGGCGGGGUCGCAAGUCAGAUGUGAAAUCCCCGGGCUCAACCCGGGAACUGCACCUGAAACUGCGAUCCUUGAGUACUGGAGAGGGUGGCGGAAUUCCUGGUGUAGAGGUGAAAUUCGUAGAUAUCAGGAGGAGCACCGGUGGCGAAGGCGGCCACCUGGACAGUUACUGACGCUGAGACGCGAAAGCGUGGGGAGCAAACAGG